ACGGAGGGGGCAAGCGUUGUUCGGAAUUACUGGGCGUAAAGCGCACGUAGGUGGCUAAGUAAGUCAAAGGUGAAAGCCCUCGGCUCAACCGGGGAACUGCCUUUGAAACUGCCUAGCUUGAGUCCGGGAGGGGGGAGCAGAAUUCCCAGUGGAGCGGUGAAAUGCGUAGAUACUGGGAGGAAUACCGGUGGCGAAGGCGGCUCCCUGGACCGGUACUGACACUGAGGUGCGAAAGCGUGGGUAGCAAACAGG
rnacentral:rRNA from 1 species